rnacentral:rRNA from 1 species
GAUGACGCUGGCGGCGUGCCUAACACAUGCAAGUCGAACGAGUGGCGAACGGGUGAGUAACGUAUGGGAAACUGCCCGAUAGCGGGGGAUAACUACUGGAAACGGUGGCUAAUACCGCAUACCUUCGCCUGAUCCCAUAUGGGAUUGGCUAGUAGGUAAGGUAAUGGCUUACCUAGGCAACGAUCCCUAGCUGGUCUGAGAGGAUGAUCAGCCACACUGGAACUGAGACACGGCCCAGACUCCUACGGGAGGCAGCAGUGGGGAAUAUUGCACAAUGGGCGCAAGCCUGAUGCAGCCAUGCCGCGUGUAUGAAGAAGGCCUUAGGGUUGUAAAGUACUUUAAGUCGGGAGGCGUUACCGAAAGAAGAAGCACCGGCUAACUCCGUGCCAGCAGCCGCGGUAAUUC